UCUCCGUUGGUGAACCAGCGGAGGGAUCAUUACUGAGUUACCGCUCUACAACCCUUUGUGAACAUACCUAACUGUUGCUUCGGCGGGCAGAGGUCCCUCGCGGAUCUCUCCCGGCAACGCCCUCACGGGCGGAGCGCCCGCCGGAGGAUACCAAACUCUAUUUUAACGACGUUUCUUCUGAGUGGCACAAGCAAAUAAUUAAAACUUUUAACAACGGAUCUCUUGGUUCUA
rnacentral:misc_RNA from 1 species